rnacentral:rRNA from 1 species
AUUGAACGCUGGCGGCAUGCUUUACACAUGCAAGUCGAACGGUAACAGGCCGCAAGGUGCUGACGAGUGGCGAACGGGUGAGUAAUGCAUCGGAACGUGCCCAGCCUUGGGGGAUAACUACUCGAAAGAGUAGCUAAUACCGCAUACGAUCUAUGGAUGAAAGCGGGGGACCGUAAGGCCUCGCGCGAUUGGAGCGGCCGAUGUCAGAUUAGGUAGUUGGUGGGGUAAAGGCUCACCAAGCCAACGAUCUGUAGCUGGUCUGAGAGGACGACCAGCCACACUGGGACUGAGACACGGCCCAGACUCCUACGGGAGGCAGCAGUGGGGAAUUUUGGCCAAUGGGCGCAAGCCUGAUCCAGCAGAGCCGCGUGCAGAAAGAAGGCCUUCGGGUUGUAAACUGCUUUUGUACGGAACGAAACGGCUCUGGUUAAUACCCGGGGCUAAUGACGGUACCGGAAGAAUAAGCACCGGCUAACUACGUG